AUUAAAGUCAUGCUUUAGUGAAGCAAAACAAAAAUAAUACUAAUUUAAGAACUGCCACACAACUUCUUUGCCCCUGCCCCAACAUAUAAACCUGAUUUCUCUCUGAGACCUAGUACCUUCUCUUCAAAUCAUUCACUUUUAGGAUUUUCCUACAAGUGAGGGAUAUUGGGUCUGUGAACGUAAAGUGAUUAUUUUAAAGACAUGGUCA
rnacentral:lncRNA from 10 species